UUUUUUUUUUUAAGAUUUUAUUUAUUUAUUUGACAGAGAGAGACAAAGUGAGAGACAGAACACAAGCAGGGGGAGCGGGAGAGGGAGAAGCAGGCUUCCCGCUGAGCGGGGAGCCCGAUGUGGGGCUCGAUCCCAGGACCCUGAGAUCAUGACCUGAGCCGAAGGCAGACGCUUUAACGACUGAGCCACCCAGGCGCCCACGUAGUGUUACAGUUUUGCCUGUGACGUCUGUGGGGCUGAAGAAUCUGUUCCACUCCCUUCUACCCAGGUGCGCUUUCAGGAGUCGGUUUCCAAAGCACGGCCAGCAGGCUGGCUUUCCAGAAAAUACCACCGCAGAGAGGCUGGCGGUGUUCUCAGAGGCCACAGGCAAAGCGGAGGAGGCCCGAUCUUCUGCUGAGGGCCGCCGCUGUCAGCCACGAGAACCUGAAACCUCCACUCUGCUCUCAGAAGGAACUGCGGUGUUGAAGUGGUGUGAAGCAUGGGGGGCCGCACCGGGCCUGUGGGGCCUGCGGCCUGUGGGCAGAUCUCAGCACCUCUGGGCCCCCUCAUGGCCUCACCACAGUCGGGUUUCCAGAGCAGACAAACCUCGCCACAACCAGAAGGAUCCCGCAACCUCAAAUUAGGAAAACCCAAACCAACACCAGGCCUGGUUCCCAUCCAAGAGGACAGGGACCACAUCCCUCUUGCUCACCAGGGACCAGGGCCGAGGAUGCUGCCUGGCACACAGUAGACGUCGGUGUCUGUAAAUAAGUAAGUGUUUGCAUGAACGACUGAGCAGAGGCGUCACUCCAGAAGCAGGCCGUGCUGUGCUCUUUUCCGCUCAGGACUCAGAGAUGAACCUGGCGCGUCUCCCACCUGCCCCCUGCUCUGCCCUCAGGUUCCUGCUGCUUCUGAGAGCCCUGGGCCCGGAGCAGGGAGCCCUGGCUCCUCACAGCCAGAUGCCAGGUGCUAUCUCAGGCACAGCAGGUCUGGGGAACACGCCUCCCUUGGCCUUGCCUGGUCAUGAAAAGCAGGCGCUCAGGGAACCCAGAGCCGGGCCAGAGUCUGCACCUCAUCCCUCGCAUCCCUGCGCAGCUGGAACGGACCAGCCCCCAUCUGCUGGCCGUACCUGACCUUGGGGUCAGGCCAAGGAGCAGGGCUGGGCAAUGUGCCUUCACUUGCUACCAAUCACUUAAAGUCUCUGUUUCCAAGCUUCCUGAGAAAGUGCUGGAUGCACAAAACUGAGGGGUGGCUAAGAAAAUGAUACGAAUAACAGCCACUCGCUGCUAUUCCUGAGCAACGUUCUUCAUAGGCCGACCUGCCUCCAUCCUGCGACUCGACAAGGCAGGUCUGGCUCUGACGGAAGAGAAAACUGAGGAAUGGUGAGCCGUGAUUUUUAUCUGCCUUUUUAUUUCACUUCCCCCCCUCCAGCUCAUCAUUACAGCCUGUAACCUAAGUCCCAGGGGCAGGGCUCAGUCAGGGUCUGGCCAAAACCCACAGAAAUCAGAGCCCUCCUCCUUGAGAAACAUCUUGGGCCCACACAUGUGAGGUACUUCCUGUCUCCUCACUUUAAUUCUGACACCAGCUCCUGAGGUUUGACUGCCCAGCCCCAUUUCAGAGGUGAGGAAACUGAGACUCAGGGUCCUGUCUUUGGUAACCGUCAGGAAUGGUAGAGUCAGGAUUCCAACCCAGAUCCUUCAAAAAAACAAACCCCUCAGCCAAGGCCCUGGAGCAGGGAGCCCUGGGAGCUAGAAGGUCAGAGGCUCCGACUGAAACACAAGGCAAGUCACAUGGGCAAUUUUAAACUGGCUGGGAGCCACCUUAGAAGGGAAAGCGAAACAAGUAAAAUUAAUUUUAAUAACGUACUUUAUUUAACUCAAUAAAUCCAAAAUGUUACCAUUGCAACAUGUAAUCAGCAUAAAAAAGUGUUAAUGAGACAUUUUACCCUUUUUUCAUACUAAGUCUUGGAAAUCCAGUGUAUAUUAUAUGCUUAUGGCACAUCCCAGUUCAAACUGGCCACAUUUCAAGGGCUCCCUGGCCACACGUGGCAACGGGCUACCGGCUUGGCUGGGGCAUAUCUAGAGCAGCAGAGAAGCACGGAGAACCAGGGGCGACUCAUUCACGUCCUCCCCCUCUACCUACUCACACUUGCUGCGUGCUUGCAACGGGCCAGGCGGCAGAAGCAAGCCCCACGCCCGUGACUUUACACGGGGAGGGGGGCAGACACAGAAAGGGUAGCACUGAGGGGCACCACGCCCCAGUGGCUCAGUCCCAGAGUUUCACAUCCUGUCCCCCAUAAGGACAUGGUUGGUCAUCUUUCAGGGCCAGAGCCCCUGAACUGAGGUUUGGAAAACAUAGGCAUGUCACACCCUCUCUCCUGGACUUCCGGAUCAUGACCACUCCCCCUCCUUGCUAAAGAAAACUUGGCACACGACCUCCUGGUAUCACUGUCAUCCUCAGACCCUAAGGGAAUCCUUCGAGUUUGUCCAGACCUGAUGCAGAAGCUCCGCUCCCCACCCACCGGCAGGCAGAGGCUGAUGGCAAAGGCGGUGGAAGUCGCUCGGGUGUGUCCCUGCAGGUGGCAGGGCUGAGGCAGCUGUGAUUGCCCAGCUGCCCUAAAAGAACUCUCUGAAAGCCCCCCAGAAUAGUGACCAGCCCGAGGCACAACCCAAGAACAAUGAGCGGAUAAGCGCCGAGCAAAGGCACCAGGCACCUGUGAAAGGCAAGGAAGAGGUCCUCGAAGACAGUUCCUUCUUGGCUCGGCGAAGCAGCUCUGCACCUACCAGCACCCAUGGGAGCCGUGGUCACACCCUCGGCGGUCGAGGCAUUCAGCUCAGACCCACUCACCCAGCCACAACCGGAACGGCUGAUCCCAAAAGAGGCCCACGUCCAGACACCCGUCUUUCCGAGGAUGCCAGGCAUGUAGCUAAAAGGGUGCACAGGCUUCACUGAGUUUCCUGCUGAAUUUGGUGACACCUGGGAAGUCCAAAGGAUCCCUCCUUUGCCUCUGAUGCCAGCUCACAGAAGUGGAAGAGAUCGAUCCACAGGAAACGUAAAGAUGAUGGAGAAAAACUCCCCGUCGGAUCACCCCCCCAGGCCUCCCCACCUGCCCACUGCUGGCUCCAGCGGGCCCCGUCAUGUAGUUCUCACUACCUGAGACCCUGUACGCCAAAUCCACCCACCAAUUUAACGUCUACUCAUCCCUCAAGGGCCAACUCAAGUCUCACUUCCACAAAGCUUCUCCCUCUACCCGAGUCAGGGACCACCUUUCCUGUCCCUCUUGCUUUGCUACAACCCUCCCCAUCUAUCCUGAGUGCACUUACUAAAUAAACACACUCCCAUCUCAGACUUGCACAGCACUGGGCUUGCUGCCAGGAAGACGGGGAUGAAAGCCCCCUCCCUCCUUACAGGAGCCCAGUCUAGAAGACAAGACAGACAUGGGAGCAGAGGAUUAUGCCCAACAAGAAGAUCUACGGGACCUGCAUGAACAGAAGGCUGUAGAAACACAGAAGGGGACAACAGAGGACCCAGAAGGACAAGUAGGUGUCCGCCAAGCAGAGGGUGGGAGAGCACUCCAAGCAGAGAGGGAUCCUUGGGGAUGGCUGGAUCAGGGGGUACCUGGGAGGGAGAGGAGUCUGGGGAGAAGCUGGAGCCAGCUUGUGGAAGGGAGGCACGUCAGAUGCAAGCUUUGGAGACAUCGUGAUCUUGGCAAGACCAGGAGGCAUGUCAGGGGCUACUUCAAAGGUCCAGGAGAGAGAGGGAAUGAGACUGAACCAGCAGAGUGGCAGCAGAGGUGACAGAAGGGGACCGAGGCAUGAGAAGGGGCAGGCGACAUUCUUCCAGAAGCCGUUCAGCACUUAGGAGGUUUUCAUAAGCAAACUCCUCCACUAAGCAAGUGUUCUUUGUGAGCAGCUUAGACCAGCUUUUCUAUUUUUUUUUAAAGAUUUUAUUUAUUUAUUUGACAGAGAGAGACACAGUGAGAGAGGGAACACAAGCAAGGGGAGUGUGAGAGGGAGAAGCAGGCUUCCCUCGAAGCAGGGAGCCCAAUGCGGGGCCCUGGGAUCAGGACCUGCGCCGAAGGCAGACACUUAACGACUGAGCCACCCAGGCGCCCCGACCAGCUUUUCUAUUUUACUCGAGCACAGAGCAGCCUCUCAAUCAUUAAGUAAUUACUGGACUCAGUUUCAAAUUCUAGAAAUAUCUCUGAAAAGAUGUGCUUGACCUCCCAGACCCUGACAGUGGCUAAACAAAGAACACAGUGGUACAAACUGAAAACAAGAGAACCACACCUAGGCUAUCCCAGGGAGACCCAGAGCUCAGCCCUGUGCUUAAAGCAAAACGCCUCCAGGAAGUCAAUCAACAAACCACGGCUGGGCCACAGGGAGACAUGGGAGGGGAAGGCAUGCGGCACAGGGACCAAGGAAGCAGGGAAGCCGCUCCCGUCCAGGACUCCACUCAUCCUCAUCCGAAUGGCUGUGGUUGGUCAAGUCACAAACCCUCGCUGGAACUCUGAUCCUACAUCCUCCAGAAGAGAACGCAGGGACUGCAAACAUGCCCACGGGCUGCUACCCUCCUUGACCCCCACGGUGGGAGCUAAGCCACAAGCCCCUACCCAGCCUAGAGCACCAGCUCUCAAAAAGCAAAGAUAUUAAGCACUUCCUGCCACAGAAGAGAAAUGUUUGUUUACAGCCCUCAGCGGCUCCAGCCCCAGGUCUUCAGGAGAGGAAAGGUGCCCAGAAAUCCUUGAUCACAACAAUGACCAAAACAGCUGCAGGCUGGACUUGCAGAGCCCCAUCGGAGGCCUGGGGCAGGGUCCCUGAAGGUGGGGGGGGGGGGUGACAGUUCCACAGACACGGAGCUCUAGGUACAGAAGAGCCCCCAGCAGCUCCCACACCACCACCACCAACAACAAUACCAACACCAACAACAAAACCCCACCUUACUCUCUCCAUCACCCAAAGCCUAUUUUUUUAAUGAAAAAAAAAAUCUUUCAAAAUGACAGUUUUGAAAAGAAAAUAUGCUCCCUUACCAUAGUUUCUCAUGGAGUUAAAAAUACAAGUAAGUGUUGGAGGAAAAAAAGUUUUAAGGUCAAAGGGGAAAAAAAAGUCAUGUUUUUUGAAAUCUCGGAAAAUAAACAGACUCAGGCCUCAUGUGCAGGCUCUCUGGGAAUGUGACCUGUGGUGCUGCUGGGGGUCGGAACGCCAUUUAAAGGAAAGCUCAAGGGCACGCCUGAGGCCGGGGAUUAGUGGCUCGGACACUGCAUCCCCCUCUCCAGAGGACCAGGCUGCCGGCCACUCGGGACGGGGGUGUCCAGGAGAUGAGAAGCUGAGGCGGGCGCGUGAGAAGAGCAAGGGGAACGGAGGGCAGACAGCCCAGCCACCCUGGAAAACAAUACCGGGGCCAGCAAGGGUUCCAGGGGCUGGGGCUGGAUGGAAGGAUGCUCAGCCGAGCAAGCGGGUGAUGGGGACACACUCCAGGCAGGCAGCAGCUGUGACACCCGUGAGGGACAGUAGAGCCUCUGCGCACUCAGGGGACGGGGUCACGCUGGGUAGUUCCUCAGCCUGGCCCACCUGCCUCUCGGCAGUAGCCAGAGAACUCACAACAAAGCCAGCCCCAGAGGAAGCCAGGAAGCAGGGCUCAGGGGUCACUCAUGCAUUCAGUACAUAUUUAUUAAUCCUACUUUUUGCUGGAUCCUCAUCAAGCACUGCAACUACAACUAGACAGCUAGACAAGGCCCUCGUCUGUCUGCACAGAGUUUACAUUUUGGGGGCUCAGAGCCCUUCCACUCUUUCCUUCCCCCGCCAACCCUGGUGGACCUGUCAGUCCCAUGGGGUACUUACUAAUGUGUGUUGAGCCCUCUUGCACACGGGCUCGAGUAAGCCCUGCCCCUCCACCUCCCCCCACCUGGGGUUCGUAAACUCCUGGGGAACUCUGCAGGCAGUUGGGGUGGGGAGGGGAAAAGACCCCACACAGCUGUCCAUAGCAUGGAGUGCUAUUGGCCAUCCGUAGAGACACAGCCCCAUUCAAUUACUGCACACCUCCCACAUCCCUAGCUCCGAGCUAACCCUGGGAGCAGGGGACACAGGCGUGGGCUCCAUUCCUACCUAGGAGAAGCACCAAGCCCAGAGAGGGAGAACCAAAAGCAAAGGACGAGGAAGCACCUAGGAACAGCAGGGAAGUAGGGCUCAGAGCAGGGCUUUGGAAUCUAAACAGGGCUUUGGAUCUAAACCUGACCAUUUACUAGCUGUGUCUACCUGGGAGAGUCACUUCCCUUCUCUGAAUCUCAGGGUCCCCUACAGUAAUGUGGAGAUGACCAUGCCAACCUUGUAGGUACGCAUCUGAUGACUGACUUGCCACUGGCAUUUGACAAAGCAGAACGAUGACCAUCCUCCUAUGUGGGCCUUACAGAAGUGUGAACAACGGUGUGGGAACACAGGGGAGGGGGCCGUGGAUUUUGCCAGAGAAAAUGCAAAACAUUUUAAUUAAAAGAUGAAAUGUCGGGGUGCCUGGGUGGCUCAGAUGGUUGGGCAUCUGCCUUCGGCUCAGGUCAUGAUCCCAGGGUCCUGGGAUCGAGCCCCGCAUCGGACUCCCUGCUCAGCGGGGGGCCUGCUUCUCCCCCUCCCUCUGCUUCUCCCCCUGCUCAUAUUCUCUCUCUCUCUGUAUCUCUGUGUCUCGAAUGAAUUAAAAAAAAAAAAAAAAAGG